rnacentral:rRNA from 1 species
CCUACGGGAGGCAGCAGUGGGGAAUAUUGCACAAUGGGGGAAACCCUGAUGCAGCGACGCCGCGUGAGUGAAGAAGUAUCUCGGUACGUAAAGCUCUAUCAGCAGGGAAGAAAAUGACGGUACCUGACUAAGAAGCCCCGGCUAACUACGUGCCAGCAGCCGCGGUAAUACGUAGGGGGCAAGCGUUAUCCGGAUUUACGGGGUGUAAAGGGAGCGUAGACGGCAGCACAAGUCUGGAGUGAAAUCCCGGGGCUUAACCACGGAACUGCUUUGGAAACUGUGAGGCUGGAGUGCAGGUGAGGUAGGCGGAAUGCGUGGUGUAGCGGUGAAAUGCGUAGAUAUUAGGAGGAACACCGGUGGCGAAGGCGGCUUACUGGACUGUAACUGACGUUGAGGCUCGAAAGCGUGGGGAGCAAACAGGAUUAGAUACCCCUGUAGUC